UUAAAUCUCCAUAUUUCACAGUGACUAUAACUGAAUUUGGUUUGUCUGCUUAAUCAUUUCACAAUACAAAAAGCCUAUGGAUGUGGAUAUGGGCCUCAGUUAAAAAUAAAUAAAAAGCCCAACGUAAAAGGUUUAGAAGUUGAAAUUUAGAAAACAUUAAAAAUUGGCCCAAGUAAAAACUUAUCUUCCCUUCCCUCCCCUUCCAUUCUGCCUGCGUUCAAGCUUUUGAAGAGUACAACAAUGGCGAGUUGGGGCCUGCAUCCAACCUUCAAGUUUCCAGCAAAUCCAAUCCUCCAGAAAUCCCAAUGCAGGCACUGCCUUCAAUUGUUGUAAGAAAUCCCAGAUGAGGUGAGGCGGAUGCCUACACUCGCCUCUAUGUAGCUCCGCCCCUGGAAGUGAUCACACUUUAGAGCAGCCAAAAAUAUACGGUGGAAUUAACGAAUUUACCCCCGUAACAGUCUAAGAUACAAAAAUAAAGCCUAAAAAUACUCUAGUUUAAACUAAGAUUUAUCCAACAUUAUCCUCUUUAGGCACUCAAAUUAAAUUCAUAUGAAAUAUUAAAUGGUACAUUUGAAGGGGGACAAUAUUUAUUUAUUUUAAAAGUUUUUGCAGUUAAAAUUUAAAAAAAAAAUUAAAAAAUCACCCAAAUCUAACUCAAGAUUAUGAAAUGAGAUGUUCAGUUUUUUCAGGAAAAUUGACGACAUUACAAAAAUGUAGACAAAAACAAGUGAAUUGAAUAAUUGGAGAAAAAAUUGAAAGACUUACAGCUUAAAUUUCUUUAUCCCCAAGAGAACUCAAAAUCAAUUAUUAGGGGAGAAACUCCAUCUUUCACUGCGUAGCUGCGUCGGAGUGUGUACCAGAAGAGCUGCAGUAUUUUUAACGUUUGAUGAAUUCUAAGCGUAAGCUAGGGAUCAUUUUCUCCUCAAAAAAGGCACGGAGAAGUAAGGAU
rnacentral:lncRNA from 1 species